rnacentral:rRNA from 1 species
CGGGUGAGUAAUGCUUGGGAAUCUAGCUUAUGGAGGGGGAUAACUACGGGAAACUGUAGCUAAUACCGCGUAGAGUCGAGAGAUGAAAGUGUGGGACCUUCGGGCCACAUGCCAUAGGAUGAGCCCAAGUGGGAUUAGGUAGUUGGUGAGGUAAAGGCUCACCAAGCCGACGAUCUCUAGCUGGUCUGAGAGGAUGACCAGCCACACUGGGACUGAGACACGGCCCAA